CAAACGACGAAUACAGUGCGCUUCGAACACCGGUCUAAACUUCUCAUUAACUCUAAAAACAAACUGUAAAUGGAUUUAAACGUCUGUACAAGUCUCAAUCAUUCUUUAAAAAUGGAAAUACCCAUCAAUCGACGAUAUUCUCUUACGACGAUAACCUCGUUCACAUUAUCGAACACUGAUAAGAGCCAACAGAUAGAACUCGCCUGCCUGAUGUGUUGAUAACAAGUAAACUCGUUUGACGUUGUAUUUCGGAUCUACGUAUACAUCGCUAGUAACCAAAAAUGUUCGCGAUUCCCAAGACGACGUUGAGUGCCUUAGUUUUGGUAACGCUUUCCGUCGCACAAAUUGGAUACUGCCUGCAGUGCCACUUUUCAGAAAGCGAUGGCUCUCUCCGGAAAAUAGAAUGCUCGGCGUCAUGUAUAAAGGUCGUUAUAAGCGAGGGUCCAGACGCAGGUACCAGCUAUGGCUGCGAUCCUAUCAAACACCAAAGCAACUGUUCAUCCAUCAAACUGGAGGGAUACCCAGCCACUGUCUGCUUUUGUGACACUGACCUGUGCAACAGUUCAAACGCGAUGCCCUUCACAGUCCCUCUCCUCCUCUUGGCGUUCCUCUUCCUCAGGAUGCUUGCCUGACCUGUCGUAUGGAAGCUACAGCAAAUGAACGCGUUGGUGCAACUCUGUAGCACAUUCCCUUCUUUGUAUUUGUUACCGUUUCACCUAUAAUAUAGUUAUUUCUAUUAACAA